rnacentral:rRNA from 1 species
CCUACGGGUGGCAGCAGUGAGGGAUAUUGGACAAUGGACGGAAGUCUGAACCAGCCAUGCCGCGUGCAGGAAGACGGCUCUAUGAGUUGUAAACUGCUUUUGUACAAGGGUAAACCUGAAUACGUGUAUUCAGCUGAAAGUACUGUACGAAUAAGGAACGGCCAACUCCGUGCCAGCAGCGGCGGUCAUACGGAGGAUCCAAGCGUUAUCCGGAUUUAUUGGGUUGAAAGGGUGCGUAGGCGGAUUGAUAAGUUUGAGUGGAAAUGUCCGGGCUUAACUCGGGAACUGCCUCCAGUACUGUUGAUCUAGAGAGUAGAAGCGGUAGGCGGAAUGUAUAGUGUAGCGGUGAAAUGCUUAGAGAUUA